rnacentral:lncRNA from 1 species
AGUGCAAACUCUUGACUUUCGGCUUCUUGCCUCUCAGCUUCCAACCUGCCCUUUGUCUUCUUGACCAUUUUCACCUGAAAAGUUACAAACUUGGAAAGGGAUAAGUAGAUGGAAGUGAACUUAACAGAACAUUUUGCAAGAGUGAACUUAACAGAUGAAUUUUUCAGUUUAAACUCAAGUUCAACACAAUGCAACAAUGUAACAUCUUAACACAUCUAGUGCACCCGCAAACACACCCAAUUAAGGUCAAAUUCGAAAAACCCCCAAAUCCAUGAACCCUAAUUUUGCAAAAGUGCAAAUUAAACUCAAUUUCACAGUUAAUUCAACAACCCAACAUGAUAGAUAAACUUUCC